rnacentral:tRNA from 1 species
GACCGCGUAGCUCAGUUGGCAGAGCAUUGGGCUAGUUUUCCAAAGGUCGUAGGUUCGAUUCCCACCGUGGUCA